rnacentral:miRNA from 1 species
AGAUGGUACUACGUGGGAAUG